rnacentral:rRNA from 1 species
GAUCAUGGCUCAGGACGAACGCUGGCGGCGUGCCUAAUACAUGCAAGUAGAACGCUGAAGGAGGAGCUUGCUUCUCUGGAUGAGUUGCGAACGGGUGAGUAACGCGUAGGUAACCUGCCUGGUAGCGGGGGAUAACUAUUGGAAACGAUAGCUAAUACCGCAUAAUAGCAGUUGUUGCAUGACAGCUGUUUGAAAGGUGCAAUUGCACCACUACCAGAUGG